rnacentral:piRNA from 1 species
UGAUGUGCAUGGCGGACACCUGUGCAGA